UACGGAGGGGGCGAGCGUUAUUCGGAAUUAUUGGGCGUAAAGGGCGCGUAGGCGGCCCGGUAAGUCAAAGGUGAAAUCCCUCGGCUCAACUGAGGAACUGCCUUUGAAACUGUCGGGCUAGAGUGCGGAAGAGGCGAGUGGAAUUCCUGGUGUAGCGGUGAAAUGCGCAGAUAUCAGGAGGAACACCGGUGGCGAAGGCGGAUCUCUGGGCCAUUACUGACGCUGAGGAGCGAAAGCGUGGGGAGCGAACAGG
rnacentral:rRNA from 1 species